rnacentral:rRNA from 1 species
UACGUAGGGUGCGAGCGCUAAUCGGAAUUACUGGGCGUAAAGCGCGUGUAGGCGGAUGAGCAAGUCUGCUGUGAGAGCUCCUGGCUUAACCGGGAGUGGUCGGUGGAAACUGCUCGUCUGGAGGACGGUAGAGGUAGGUAGAAUUCCCGGUGUAGUGGUGAAAUGCGUAGAGAUCGGGAGGAAUACCUGUGGCGAAGGCGGCCUACUGGGCCGGACCUGACGCUGAGACGCGAAGGCGUGGGGAGCGAACGGG